rnacentral:rRNA from 1 species
AGUAAAUUGGUUAAGUUAGAAAGGGCGCACGGUGGAUGCCUUGGCACUAGGAGCCGAAGAAGGACGGGACUAACACCGAUAUGCUUUGGGGAGCUGUACGUAAGCGUUGAUCCAGAGAUUUCCGAAUGGGGGAACCCACUAUCUUUAGUCGGAUAGUAUCCUUACGUGAAUACAUAGCGUGAGGAAGGCAGACCCAGGGAACUGAAACAUCUAAGUACCUGGAGGAAGAGAAAGAAAAAUCGAUUUCCUGAGUAGCGGCGAGCGAAACGGAAAGAGCCCAAACCAAGAAGCUUGCUUCUUGGGGUUGUAGGACACUCUAUACGGAGUUACAAAAGAAAGUUAUAAAUGAAGCGGUCUGGAAAGGCCCGCCAAAGACGGUAACAGCCCGGUAGUUGAAAUGGCUUUCCCUCCAGAGUGGAUCCUGAG